AACGAACGCUGGCGGCAUGCCUAACACAUGCAAGUCGAACGAGACCUUCGGGUCUAGUUGCGCACGUGUGCGUAACGCGUGGGAACCUGCCCUUAGGUUCGGAAUAACUCCCCGAAAGGGGUGCUAAUACCGGAUAAUGUCUUCGGACCAAUGAUUUAUCGCCUUUGGAUGGGGUCGCGUUGGAUUAGCUAGUUGGUAGGGUAAAAGCCUACCAGGGCGAGGAUGCAUAGCUGGUCUGAGAGGAUGAACAGCGACACUGGGACUGAGGCACGGCCCAGACUGCUACGGGAGGCAGCGGGGGGGAAUAUUGGUCAAUGGGCGAAAGCUUGAUCCAGCAAUGCCGCGUGAGUGAUGAAGGCCUUAGGGUUGUAAAGCUCUUUUGGCCGGAAUGAUAAUGACAGUACCGGGAGAAUAAGCGCCGGCUAACUCCGUG
rnacentral:rRNA from 1 species